UAGAUUAUGCCCAUGGCCUACUUCAAUUACCUUUGUAACAGUAUAAUAAACUUUGAAUUGGAUUGGUUAAUAAGUAAUAAUUUAAGCAUGACUAAUGAAAUCCAAAACAAUGUCUACAAAGUAACGAGCAUUCUUACCAUAAUUAAACAUUUAGAUAUAGUAACAACAUUCAUAAGAAGAAUAACUUUAUUUACCAACCAUACAUCAAUUUAAGGAGAAUAAGCUGACAAGAGAAAGAAUAGAAGUGGGCCUUAAAUAAUCUUUCAAUUGACGAAAAUUUCCAGCAAAUUACAACGGACAGAAUAACGCAGCUACGAGCAAAAUUUGAAACGGCGGUCGAACUCGAACGGAAUCACGGACCACACCUCGAACGUACUUCGAACGGCAACCUCACUUUAACUCGUUUGGGAAUUAUGUGAUGAUGUUGUGCACUAGAGGGAUCCAUUAAUGCAUAAUUGUCUCUCUCUAAACAGCUUAAUAACAAUUUUAGAGCUUGAAACUGACCAAUCCUCCAAACUGGUUUAAUUUUGGGUGUUUCGGUAAGACAAAAGAUAGGAUUAAACUAAGAACUAUUGAAUAGAAGCAGAAGACAAAUUUGAAUUGUAAAAGAAAGGAAAUCCCCCCAUCCCCCCUUCUUUCGCUACUGCUUUCCAAUUCCCUUUCUCCUUCCUUUGUUCCCUUAAUCUCCCCUCCAUUCCUUUUUCUUUCACUCUUUGCUUUCUUUUAUUUUGUGCAGGUUGCGGGUGUUAGGAGUCUUUGGGGGGAGGGGGGGGUGCCGCUGGCUAGGGAGUGUAGGGAUUAGGUUUUUAUUUGUGAAAGAAUUGGCUUUUAUGUGGUAGGGUAAAUGAGUAUGGGCCAUUGGAUUAGAUUAAAUGAAAGGCUAUGAUUAAGGGAGGGGUUUUAUGGGUGAGAAAAGGGUUUGGACUAAAAGGAAUUGGGAAGAAUGGCCAUUUGUCUUGCUGGGCCACUAAAAUCCAAAAAUAAGCUCCCAAUUGGUCCAAAUUCAAUUCUCUCAUUGAAUAAAAAUAAAAAUAAAAAUACUACCAAAAUAUAAUAAUUAAUCUUAGUUAAUAAGAAUAAAUUAUUAAAGUUAUAUAUAUAAAAAUAAAAAUAUUUUUAUUAUUUUUUUAAAUGUUAUAAAUAUUAUAAAAUACUAAUAAGCUAAAAAACCGUUAUAAACUAUUUUUGUGUUUUUUUUAAAACUUAUGUUUUACAAUUUAAAACUAAAAGUUGACUAAAAUCCUAUUAAAAAUAAAAAUAAGUAAAUAUUUUUAAAAGUUGCGCGGGUCAAAAAUUACAUGCUUAUAGCUGCCCCUCUCUGCUUGGAAACAUGCAGAGUUUUCGGAGCAAAGAACAAUAAGCAACGUAAUUGAUUUAUGACCCGAUGCUUAUUCAACACGAAACAAAGAUUGAUAAAAGAUUGUGACCGAGCCCUGGUAUCUGAGCUGCCUACAUAUCCUUGGUUAUAAAGGAAUUAGGCCACGUGUAGUUCAGAACUGAAUGGAGUGAUGUAGUGUGUGGAGAGGAUGAGAGAGUCGAGUGAGGUACCGUUCCGUCGAGGUUCCAGUCCGCGGUCUUGUUAUUACAUCAAAAUCAAAAACGGAAAAGACUAACUAAGUCUGUCAGCUAUGAGUUACAAGAUUCCUAUCUAUAAGUCUUCUGAAGCUUGAUCUUGAAUCUUGAAUGGUUCUUCAUGCAGACUUUUGAUUUGAACCCUGAUGCUUGCUAGCUGCAGGUGCAGAUUCAUCUUCUUUGGCUUCUUCGGAUCAAGACCGGACAUGCAGUGCUCGUGACUUCAGCCAUGUCUUGAGCAGUUCACAUCUUUCAUCGGCUUCUGUAUUUUGGAUUCACUUCUCUUUUUUUUUCUUUUCUUUUAUUCUAGAUUGAAACUUCUUCCUUUGGUCAUCUCGGACUGUCGACUCGCAUUCUUGAGGCGAGCUUCUGCUACUUCUAACUUGAAUUGAAUUCUGAAAUGACUUCCCUUGUUCUUCAGGUGGGUGUCUGCAACUGACUUGAAACUUGAAAUGAAUUCCCUCAUUCUCCAGGUGGGCGCCUGCUACUACAGCAAAACGGAAACAACAAAAGAAACCUUUUCUGCCCCAGUUUACACUAGGAAGAUUUGUGAGUUAUUAGCAGAACUAUAAAUCACCUAUGCUAUUGAUGAAGGAUGCAAUGAUGAGAGUAAAAUUAAAGACUCGACUAGGAUGUGCGUCUCCUGUGAGUAAAACCAAGAAAAUUUAGACUAGCAAAUGCGUCUGCUAACAAAAAACCUGAAUGACCCAAACUAGGAAGUGCAUCUCCUAGAUGUGAAACUUGAAUGAACCAAAUUAGGAAGUGCGUCUCCUAGGGGCGAAAUCUUAAUUUAGGAAGUGCGUCUCCUAAAAGUAUAUCCUGAAAGACCCAGAUUAGGAAGUGUGUCUCCUAGGGGUGAAACCUUUAACCUAAAAUUAGGAAGUGCGUCUCCUAAAGAAAUAAAAAUCUGAAAAAACCAAACUAGGAAGUGUGUCUUCUAGAUUUGAGAUUGAGCUUGAGGAAAACUAUAAACUAAGCUUGACUAAACUAAAAACUGGCCCUAUUCUCCAGGCGGGACCCCUAAUUUCAAGAAAACUAAAGAUUGAUAACUUAAGAAAACUAAAAAUUGACCUUCUUUUUUAAAAAAAAAUAAAAUCCAGACUUCCCUUUUUUUUUAAAAUUAUUAUCCUAGGAGAAAAUUCAUCAGACUAGGUCCUUUUUUUUGUUAUCUUAGGAGAAAGAGUCAUCAGACUAAGAUUUCUAUCUUAGGAGAAAGUUCAUCAGACUAAGAUUUCUAUCUUAGGAGAAAGUUCAUCAGACUGGGUCUUCUAUCUUAGGAGAAAGUUCAUCAGACUGGGUCUUCUAUCUUAGGAGAAAGAUUCAUCAGACUAAGUUUUCUUAUCUUAGGAGAAAGAUUCAUUAGACUAAGAUUUUGAUCCUAGGAGAAAAUUCAUCAGACUAGGUCUUUUUUUUUGUUAUCUUAGGAAAAAGAUUCAUCAGACUAAGAUUUCUAUCCUAGGAGAAAAUUUAUCAGUUUUAAAAGUGGUGAUCGGUUUGUGGCCUUGAGUCUUGGGCAGCUUGGCUUUUGCUCAAUCAGCUUGAGUCAGUUUCGAGAGACAUUUUACUCUACAUCAACCCUGAUUGUUUCAUACCCAGUACCAUUUGUAUUUGUGGCUCAGUCAGCCUUAUCUCAAAAAAGAGAUUUCUUUUCUUGGAUAACCUUUUCUGAUAUCUUGAAUGGCUUUGCUUUUGGAGCAAUUUGUCUGUCAGAGAGAAUCACAACUGGUAAGAGCCUUUUGCACGAUGUGCACACUUCAUAGUCAUUGUUCGGUACUACAGAGAAUUUCUGAUUAACCUUGAGGUUAUCUUUGCUUGCUUUACCCGAAUAGGCUGACAAGAGUCUUUUGGGGGGGAAGCCUUUGCAUGAAUCCUCAAUGCAUGUUGACUGUAAAAACUGAGUGUGCUGGCCAAAUUUACUUUGUGCAACUGAAAAGCUGGUAGCAGAUUUUGAAAUCAUUUCUUUCUUGUUUUGACAAGGACUGACUCAGAGUGAAGGACACAGUUAUGUAAAGAAAUAAGUAUUAACAAGAAAUGCCCCUAUCAGAAGGACAAAAGGUAAGAGUUUUUUUUUCUUUUUCUUUUUUUUUUUAUUUUAAUUUUACGGUAACUAGCCUUAAUGAUCAUGACAUGCAUUUUGGACUUAAUGGCCGAUCUACCAAACUAAUCCAAUCUUUCCUUUUACCAUUCUUAUGACCUUUGAAGUCGGGCUUGCUCGUGCCAAUCCUUUGCAUCAACUUCAUGACUCACUUUCGACUAGUGGUGCCCCGAGGGGUUUUCACCAACAAGUCUCUCUCAUUUAUUCAUCUCUGCUUACCGUCGUCUUACAGUGCCCGUGAGGGUUUUUACUAGUAAGACUCUUUUUUUUGUGAGCAACUUGAUAGUGUUCUAUGUCGUGUGACAACUGCUGCUCUUUGCAUGCGUCUCUUGGCAUUCUUGAAGGCAUAUCGGGAGGUCUUUAUUUGGAAGGUUUUUGGAUAGGGUUGGAAAGAAGGGUCGGCGUGGAGGCUCUAAGUAGACUCAAUAUGAUGGGUUGUACACUUUACAACUCUUGGAAUUGACUCUUUCAAAAGUGAAAUAAAAUGUUUGCCCCAGUUUCUGAUACUGGGGAUUUUUACCUUUUUUUUUGAAUUCUUAUUUGGUUGGACCGAACCGUGUAAGGCUGCCUACGUAUCCUUUUUUUAAAGGAAUCAGGUCUAAUAACUAAAUUUUUCAUCUUUUUUUUGUCUCUUUUUUUUCUUUUCUUUUUUUUUCAAAACAAGCUGCCCCGACUUUUAUUUUCUGGGGGCAUGGGCCUUUGACUGUUUUUUUUUUCUUUUUUUUUUACUUGAACUUUCUAAGAGUUGCCCCAAUUUGUACUAUUGGGGCAUGGACUUUUAUUUUGUUUUUGUUUUUUGACUUUUGACUCUAAAUUUGAUUCCAAAAGAGGGUGGUCAAAGGAAAUAAUACAGGCUCAAAAAGGGUAACAAAUGGUAUAAAGUAUUUGGGUAGCAGAAAAAGGGCCUCCCGGCCUCGAGAAUGCCAAUCAUAUUAGUCCUUCACAAUUACAAUAUUGAUGAACAUGUCUGUCUUCUUGGGUCUUUUUCAGUGUAAAGCUGUAUGAGCAAUACUUUCCUCACAAUGAAUAACCCCUAUAAGUUUGGAUGACUUUUUAUUGGGUUUUCUCUUGAUGUAGAAGAUUCAUUUUGCCACUAAACUGAUCCAUUUCAAGUUGUCUGAAAUACACCUUCUUUUGAAAACACUUUGUCUUUUAGUGCUACACAGACUUCAACCCGUCCGAUCAUCCUUAAGCCUGAUCUCCUCAAUGAUUCAAAAGGUAGAGAUCCUUAACUAUUAUGAGCAUAACUGAUUUUGUUCCAUGUAAACUUGGUUCAUGCUUAUUUUCCAAAUGUUUCAUGUCUCUAUUCAUCUUCAAAAGUGUCUCUAUCUCACGUUUAUCCAAUUCAAGACUAAAUUAGUUUUAUAAGGUCUGGCCAAAAUUUUCGCAUGCAUGUCAUGUCACUAGAACUAGCGCAAAAAGAAUUGUGCAAAAAAAUGGACACCAAAUGACUAACUACUUUUUAUUGAAUAAAGGAUAGCAGGGUUCAAUCACAAAAAGAAGAAGAAAAGACGACAAAAUAAGCUAUCAUGGCCAAAAGAGGAGUGACUUUCCAGUUACUAAGUGGCAUCUUAGCCACAUUCGCACAUCAGCAUUACUACGGCAUUUAACCAUGUUGAUUGUUUUGGAUUCAACACUCAAAUUUUGACAAUCACCCCACGCAGGCCAUGUCCUAUUGCUCAAAUCUGGUAAAGUCAACCCCACAUUUGCCUCCAUUUUCGAUUUUUCACCGCCAAAUUGGCUACUCGCCUUUUCGUGACCUUAGAUCAACAACAAUGGUGCUUGUUCCAUUGGUUGAGAAGAUGCUUUUAUUUCCGAGAGAUCUUGGAUUGUUUUUGUGACUUGCCAUCGCAAAACAACAAACCGACCACCUUUGACUAGCUUUUAUUUCAAAACAACAAGCAUGUUAGAAUAAACGCUCUUUUUUUCCUUUUUCUCUUUUUUUUCUUUUUAUUUUUUUUAAAAUCAUUCGAUCGAACCUGAUGUGGGUUGCCUACGUAUCAUGUUGGAACAUGAAUCAGAUAUUGUGUAGUUCGAAAAAAUCAGGAAUAAAGGAAAUAAAUUAACUCUUUUUUUGAAUUUUGGAUGUUUUUUUUGUUGGGAAUUUUUGAAAAGAAAGAUUUCUAAAGAAGAAAGAAAAUAUUUUUCUUUGAAUUUUGAUUUUUUUUUUCGUAGAAAGACUUCUAAAGAAGAAAAAAAAAAUAUUUAUGGAUUUUGUUUUGAUUUUCUUUUUCGAAUGAAAGACUUCUAAAAAGAAAGAAAAUAUUUUUGGUUUUAAAUUUUUUUAUUUGGAAUUUUCUAAGGAAAGACUUCUAAGGAAGAAAUUAAAAGAAAAUAUUUUUGGAUUUUUUGAAAAUUGGUGGCCGGAACCGAUGAAGUUUGCCUACGUAUCUCACAUCCGAUAAGAAUCAGACCCGCGUAGUUCGUCCAGUUUUUCAGGAUCGGAGAAAAUGUCAUUUUUGAAAAUUUGGACUCAUUUGCGACAACCUUUUAAAAAUUCGGCAGAGUUUCAAGAUCUUUUUUCUUCUUUUUUUUUCAAAUACCGGUAUUUUCAGGAACCGAGUCAAUUUUCUCUCUCCAAUUUUUCUUGAUUUUCUUUUCCUAUUCUAGAAUCCAAUCAACAUGCAAGUCAAACAAACAAAUACACAAGUAGCGCGUAAGAUGUAUCAGGAUGGUCUUUUAAUUUGGGGUACACCUGUCCUAGAAGGACCCAACCCCUGUGUUGAAUCCCCAAAGUCAAAUGCACGUGAUGCAAACAAGCGUAUCUACUAGGGAUCUGGUAUGAGGUUAUGUUAUUCUAGGUUUUAAACCUGGGUGUAUUGUUCUAGACCUGGCUUACCCGAGCGAAUAACUCGAGCGAGGGGGCAACAUACCGGGAACCAAAAGGCCAUCCGACUUUGUAACUGAUCCGAUCCUCGUUCUAAAAUUAUUGAUAUGACACUCUAACAGAAAAGAAGCCACGCCAGCGUGCGCUUCCCAGAAGAUUUAGAAGACUCAGAGAGAAGAAGGGUGUCGUAACAGUUUAUAUACAGUUCACAGAAUAUCAAAGCGGUAAAUGAGCGGCAAUUAGCACAUUAGGCCCAAAUACGUAAUAUCAGACAAUCACAAGAAAGCCAAGCAUAACAGUUAUUCUAAGCUCGAAUUCUGAACCCUAAACCAGAAGUUCUGGGUUCUUUUUCCCCAGCAGAGUCGCCAAAGCUGUCACACCUCCUUUUUCCCGAUGGGGAUAGGGAAAUAGGGAGUUUUUUUUAAUUAAAGUGACAUAAUUCGAAAUAAGAUUAUUUAUUUAUUAAAAGUCUCCACUUGAAAUAAUUUAUGGUGUCCCAAGUCACCGGUUUAUUUUUGUAAUCCCAAAUCGAGAAAAUUGGCUCUAUUUUUUAUGGUCUGCGAACAGAAAAGAUCGGGUAAGAAAUUCUGUUAAUCCGGGAGAAGGUGUGGGGCACUUCCGAGUUCCGUGCUUUUAGUACGGUCGCUCAACUAUUAAUAAUUGGCCUAAUUAUCUGAUUUAAUACAUAUUUAAAUCUUAUUGUGCAUUUUUAAGUUCUAACCGCUUUUAAUUAUUUAUGAAAUUUGUUUGAACAAGUCGCAAUGUCGCAACUCGUUUGUUUUGUACACAUUGCAAACCAUGUCAUGUGAAACGCACCCGCGAUCUACAACAUGUUAAUUUUAUUAUUAUUUGAAGUUAUGAUCAAGUCACGUGAAACGCACACUCGAAUUGGGGAUUACGUAUCAUGACUAUGCCACGAGAAUCGUACCCAUAGUCACGAUGAUUUUAUUACGUGCUUAAAGCAAACUACGAGGUUUAAAAUAUAUGUUGUCUAGAUUUGAGACGAAUGUGAGGCCAAGAGUUAUGGAUAUGAUGUUGUUGGAAAGAAAUGUGAUUUUAAACAUUGAGAUCACUUUUUUGGAAGAACUUGAAUGUCCAAAGAAUAAAGAAUGCCUCACAAUUGACAAUUAACUAAUACAGACAUAGAUUUUACAAGAUGAGAUAGUCGGCUAGAAUUUAAACACAAAAGGCAUACAUGUAAAACAUGCGGAUUAAAUUAAUGUCACUCACAACUCAGUCUGGACGGCGAGAAAUUUGAAGCUUAAUUCAUGAUAAUCCAAGGAUAAACUCAUGGCCCAUUUUUAAUCAAGCUCUAACCAAUCCAAGUAAACUUAUCCAAACCCCACAACCCAGUAGCGCUAAAAUCUCACAAAUCUUUAAUUUCUAACAAGCAAUACAUGGCUCCGAUAUCUUCAUAACUAGAUUAUGCCCAUGGCCUACUUCAAUUACCUUUGUAACAGUAUAAUAACCUUUAAAGUGGAUUGGUUAAUAAGUACUAAUUUAAGCAUGACUAAUGAAAUCCAAAACAAUAUUUACAGAGUAACGUGCAUUCUUACCAUAAUUAAACAUUUAGAUACAGUAACAACAUUCAUAAGAAGAAUAACUUUAUUUAACAACCAUACAUCAAUUUAAGGAGAAUAAGCUAACAAGAGAAAGAAUAGAAGUGGACCUUAAAUAAUCUUUCAAUUGACGAAAAUGUCCAGCAAAUUACAAUGGACAGAAUAACGCAGCUACGAGCAAAAUUUGAAACGGCGGUCGAACUCGAACGGAAUCACGGACCACACCUCGAACGUACUUCGAAUGACAACCUCACUUUAACUCGUUUGGGAAUUUGGUGAUGAUGUUGUGAACUAGAGGGAUCCAUUAAUGCAUAAUAAUCUCUCUUUGAACAUCUUAAUAACAAUUUUAGAGCUUGAAACUGACCAAUCCUCCAAACUGGUUUAAUUUUGGGUGCUUCGGUAAGACAAAUGACAGGAGUAAAUUAAGAAAUGUUGAAUAGAAUCAGAAGACAAAUUUGAAUUUCAAAGGAAAGGAAACCCCCCCCCCCCCUUUUGUUGCUGAUUUCCAAUUCUCUUUCCCCUUCCUUUGUUCCCUUGAUCUCCCCUUCGUUCCUUUUUCUUUCACUCUUUGCCUUCUUUUUUUUGUGUGAAGGUUGUGGCUGUUAGGAGUCUUUGUGGGGGGGGGGGAGGGGUGUAGCUGGCUAUGGAGUGUAGGGAUUAGAUUUUUAUUUGUGAAAGAAUUGG
rnacentral:lncRNA from 1 species